rnacentral:rRNA from 1 species
GAUGAACGCUAGCGGCAGGCUUAAUACAUGCAAGUCGAGGGGCAGCACGGGUAGCAAUAUCUGGUGGCGACCGGCGCACGGGUGCGUAACGCGUAUGCAACCUACCUUUAACUGGGGCAUAGCUCCGAGAAAUCGGGAUUAAUUCUCCAUAAUAUUCACUUGAGGCAUCUCAUAUGAAUUAAAGCUCCGGCGGUUAAAGAUGGGCAUGCGUGACAUUAGCUUGUUGGUGAGGUAACGGCUCACCAAGGCUACGAUGUCUAGGGGUUCUGAGAGGAUGAUCCCCCACACUGGUACUGAGACACGGACCAGACUCCUACGGGAGGCAG